rfam:Ictidomys tridecemlineatus contig038150, whole genome shotgun sequence.
GGGGUUGUGGCUCAGUGGUAGAGCGCUUGCCUAGCAUGCAUCAGGCACUGGGUUCGAUCCUCGGCACCA